GGACAUGUAGCUCAGUGGAUAGAACGGCCGACUACUAAUCGGCGGGUCGGGGGUUCGAGUCUCCCAUGUAUU
rnacentral:tRNA from 1 species